GACGUAGGGCGCGAGCGUUGUCCGGAUUUAUUGGGCGUAAAGAGCUCGUAGGCGGCUUGUCGCGUCGAAUGUGAAAUCUCAGGGCUCAACUCUGACAUUGCAUUCGAUACGGGCAGGCUAGAGUUCGGUAGGGGAGACUGGAAUUCCUGGUGUAGCGGUGAAAUGCGCAGAUAUCAGGAGGAACACCGGUGGCGAAGGCGGGUCUCUGGGCCGAAUACUGCGUGAGGAGCGAAAGCGUGGGGAGCGAACAGGAUUAGAACCGUACCCGAC
rnacentral:rRNA from 1 species